CGAAGGUAGCAUAAUCAGUAGUCUUUUAAUUGAAGGCUUGUAUGAAUGGUUGGACGAAAUAUUAACUGUUUCAUUUAAAAUUUUUAUAGAAUUUUAUUUUUUAGUCAAAAAGCUAAAAUAUUAUUAAAAGACGAGAAGACCCUAUAAAUCUUGAUAUUUAUAAUAAUUUUAAUUAUAAGGAUUAAUUAAAUUAUUAUUAUUAAAAAUAUUUUAUUGGGGUGAUAUUAAAAUUUAUAAAACUUUUAAUUAAUUUUUACCAUUAAUUUAUGAAUAUAUGAUCCAUUAAUAAUGAUUAAAAAUUUAAGUUACUUUAGGGAUAACAGCGUAAUUUUUUUGGAGAGUUCAUAUUGAUAAAAAAGAUUGCGACCUCGAUGUUGGAUUAA
rnacentral:rRNA from 1 species